rnacentral:rRNA from 1 species
CCUACGGGAGGCAGCAGUGAGGAAUAUUGGUCAAUGGACGAGAGUCUGAACCAGCCAAGUAGCGUGAAGGAUGACUGCCCUAUGGGUUGUAAACUUCUUUUAUAUGGGAAUAAAAUGUUCCACGUGUGGGAUUUUGUAUGUACCAUAUGAAUAAGGAUCGGCUAACUCCGUGCCAGCAGCCGCGGUAAUACGGAGGAUCCGAGCGUUAUCCGGAUUUAUUGGGUUUAAAGGGAGCGUAGGUGGAUUGUUAAGUCAGUUGUGAAAGUUUGCGGACCAACCGUAAAAUUGCAGUUGAAACUGGCAGUCUUGAGUACAGUAGAGGUGGGCGGAAUUCGUGGUGUAGCGGUGAAAUGCUUAGAUAUCACGAAGAACUCCGAUUGCGAAGGCAGUUCACUGGACUGCAACUGACACUGAGGCUCGAAAGUGUGGGUAUCAAACAGGAUUAGAUACCCGAGUAGUC